UGGAGUGGGCAUCAAGAAAUUGAUCGUUUGUGGACCGUUGGAUUAAUGGAUCGGGUUAGUCGCGGGUUUGGUCAUGGGUAGCCACCCCUACUUUGAAAGUAUAAAGCUGGUCAUGGGCCGAAUUCGGUAAACAAAUGCAAAUAAAAUUUAAGCCCAAAACCCGGGCCAUAAUUAAGAAGGGGGCAAAAUCUACCGUACUGGCCUCAUGUUACUAUAGCUGCGCUGGCCUCAUCUGCGCCGUUAAAUUCAGCAACGUGCCAUUCUGGCGCAAAGUGGUCGCACGGAUCUCGCGCCCUCCGAGAUACAUGCCUCCCCCUUUCUCCGCCCGCUACUCGUUUGCGAAAUUGCCUCUGAGAGAAAGCGAGACAUGAGUUCGCUGGGGUUGUGGUUGAUGCGGGUGGGCUCGCUUCGCCUCGCCUGUGUCUGGUUCGGAUUCUCGGACAUAUGGGCUCUCCUCCUCGCUGUCUUUUCCCAAACCCAGAGUGUAUUCUCUCUCUGCCCCAGAGUAUAGAUCGAUGCAGUUCGGCAAAUCUCCUGUCAAUGUUCUCUUAAUUUUCAAAUCUUACGACCAUUGGAAUAUUUUUCAGGUUAGGUUUUAUCCUGUGGAUAUGGAUCUAGCAACUUUAUGAGGGCACCUGAAAGCAUAUUUCUCAAUGCACGGUAAUAUGAGAUCGAACUUCAGGGUACUGUAAUCUUUCAUCUUGUGCUUUAUCACUGUCAAAUGAUAGUCGUUUUAUAUCUCCUUUCACAGUUACGCAAUUAAAAUUAAUUUGCUAGUUUGUCUCUCAUUCUUAGAGUUUUUGUUAGCCAUAAGGCCAUGACACAACUACAUCUUGAUUUAGCUUUGCUUCCUUAACCUUCAAUAUUGACCUUCAGUUAAUCCCUUGGAAGAUGAGCCAUCAUUGAGUAGUCAAACUCCUCGACAAUCCAGAGUCUUGCUUUCUCAAUAAGUGCCCAUAUAUAGAGCAAAUCUCCAACUAAGUCUGAUAUCAUCAAUAGGCUUAGGAGUAAGGAAAGACUGUGACCAGAAAGCUGUUAUGGAAUAUAGUGUUUUACAUGCCCCUUUCCCUCUUAAAGUGGAGGCACAAUAAUGGCCUUUUUUUUUCCUUCCGCCCUUAAACAUUACAGUGGUGACUCAGGUCUCCCUAUUUCAUCAUAACAUACCCCUCAGCUAACAAAUUAUUCAAAGUUAUCCUGAAACUUCAUUACCCAGCAAAUUAGAGUCUUAAGGGUUUUGGGCAUAAACUCUCUCCAACUCGGAAGAAAUCUCUUUUGUCUCCACCAUCUGCUUUUUCAUAAGAUCCUUUUGAUCCAGAAUAGAGCAUGCAUAUCCUUUAGUCUUUAAGGUCUCCACCCAUGAACCCCAUCAAUUUAUUUAGUUUUCACCUACACAUUUGCAUAUGCACAGGUAAAAGAACCAAAACCAAUUUAUCUAUCUACACAUUUUUAGAGGUGGGCAUUGGGCUGGGCCGCCCAUGGCCUGGCACGGCCCAGCACGAAG